AUGGCGUCAUCGGAGACCGGCCGCACGCCGGCGCAAGGCGCGGAAGACGCCUCCGCCUCCCCCUGGCCUCUCCGCAAGCUCCAGAGCUUUGCGCCAGGGCUGUUGUCACAGUACAAAGCCUACGAGGAUGUGUUNNNNNNNNNNNNNNNAGUUACUAUUUCGGAUGCGCUGGUUCUUGCGAGCGAGCAUCAAGCGGAGGCAAUUGGAUGUGCCACUGUCGCAGGGUUCAUCUUGUUCAGAGGCCCUCGGAGAUUUUUAUACCGCAAUACUCUGGGUCGUUUUAAAACUGAGAAGGAUUUACUGAAUGAUGUUGAACAAAGUAUGAUCGAAUACAAAACAUCUAUUGAGAGCUUGAGAAAGGAUUCCAAAUACACCCUGGACAAAGUAGUCAUUGGUGAAAGUGAUCUGCAGCGUGGCCGAACUGAUUUGAGAUCUACUGGUAAGCAAAUCCAGUCCGUUAUAAGAUCUAUUUACAAAGCAGAAUCCACAGCUGCAGGUUUGAUGGAUCAACUAAGAAUUAUUCCUACAAGACAGUCUCUUGAAUUACGAGCAGAGGUGGCUUCCAUGGCCUCUGAUUUGAAAAACCGGAGACAUGUCCUGGAAGAAAGGGUGAACCGUAUAUCUGAAUAUGGUGUUCGCGUCUGA
rnacentral:rRNA from 1 species